GGAAGAUGGCAUGUGUGGCCAAUAAUUACCGGAGCUUAGCAAGGCCAGUGGCUGUGAUGUGCAAUUCUCAAAUCAAGGUGCAGCCUGAAGACUCAGCCGGUGCCGCUGCUGCCCUCUGCUACUUGAUUGCUGGCAGCUGGUUGAGCCAUGUCAAGUGGCAGGCAAGGAAAUGUGAAAUCCCAGAUAAAGCACAGAGCCCUAAAAAGCCAUGAAGCUCAAGUAAUGAGAAGAGUGAUGGGGUUUGGGGUUUGGGCAUGCUUAGCAGGCAGGCAGGAGCCAAUGCUAACGCUUUCAACCUCUUCCUCUUCUUGGUAUGUCUGUAUGUGAGAAAAAGAGGAGGGGUGAAGGUGUUUGUAUAUUUGACUUUCCUAAUCCUGGAUUUAGGAGGAUCCACCAAACUUCAACAAUGCAGAACUGGGCCAGUUUCUGUAAAAAUCAAGUUGAAAAUCCCCGUAAAGUCCCCCUCUCAAGAUCUGCAGAAUCAUUUCUGAUAUUAAUGGCAACCUGAUUUGGA
rnacentral:lncRNA from 1 species